rnacentral:ncRNA from 1 species
CUAAGGCUAGGCUUGCGACUGGAGUGAAGUCGUAACAAGGUAGCCGUACUGGAAGGUGCGGCUGGAUCACCUCCUUU